rnacentral:rRNA from 1 species
GACGAACGCUGGCGGCGUGCCUAAUACAUGCAAGUCGAACGGAGUGGCGAACGGGGGAGUAACUCGUGGGUGAUCUGCCUGGCACUCUGGGAUAAGCUGGGGAAACUGGGGCUAAUACCGGAUAGUGCAAGAUGAGCUCGCGGCCAAUCAGCUUGUUGGUGGGGUAAUGGCCUCCCAAGGCGUCGACGGGUCGCCGGCCUGAGAGGGUGUACGGCCCCAUUGGGACUAAGGUACGGCCCAGAGUGCUACGUGGGGCAGCGGUGGAGAGUAUUGCGCAAUUGGCGGAGGCCUGAUGCAGCGACGCCGCGUGGGGGAUGACUGCCUUCGGGUUGUAAACUCCUUUCGGCAAAGACGCGGUACCUGUGAAAAAGGCACGGGCUAACUACGUGCCGCCGGCGCGGUAAUUC